UCCCUGCCGGGCUCGGGUCCCUGCCGGGCUCGGGUCCCUGCCGGGCUCGGGUCCCUGCCGGGCUCGCCCUGCCCGGGCUGCCGGCCGCACGCAGCCCCGGAGCCGCAGGACGCGGCCGGCGCAGAAAACAAGCAAUCCCAAAGUGGCAGCUGGCUGAGCCUUCCCUGCCCCUUGAUGAAGAAGGCAGCACAUUGCUGAGCUCAGCUCCUGGGAAGAAGCUGCCCUGUGCUGGAGACUUGUGCCACAGGCUGCAGUUCCUGCUCUCCCUGCCUCCAAACCCACUGCUGAGCCUGCCCAUGCCUGCAGCACCCGAGGCAGAGCUGGCUCCUGGAUGCUGACAGGGCAGCCCUAGAUCUGCUUCUCCAGGAAUCCUGAGAACACCUCCCCAGUCCCAAUGAGGCCCAAGCUGAGGGAGGCUCCUGGAGCUGCACUUUUGGCCUCAGCAGAUUAUGAGAACUUUGCUGAUGUGAACUCCACCAGGGACACGGAGAGCGAGCAGCUGGAGGGGUCCCUCUCGUCCACCAUCGCCCUCAUCGUCGUGCUGGUCAUCCUCUUCUCCCUGGUGAUGACAUCCCUCAUCACCUACUGCUUCCACAAGUGGAAACUCAGAGGGAAAAGACUGCAGAAAGCACAAGAGGAGUAUCAGAGAGACCAAGAAAAGAGCGUUUGCCAAAGCACACCUGGACUUGUUUCAUAAAAAGAGAAAUCCAGGAUCCACCAUGAAGUACUCUUGAAUUACCUGAAAAUCAUGAGAGAACUGCAAAUUUGAAAUUUCCAAGCAGAUACAGCCUUGUUUUAUCUCAUUUCUAAGAGUUGUUAGCAGUUUGGAGAUUUCCUACCGCUUUAUUAUACAUAUAUAUAUAUAUAUAUAUUUAUACAUUUAGUCUCAUUUGUGCAAAGUAAAACCAAUGCAAUUAUGUAUUUUUAAUCUCUUCUGUCAUUUUAAUCCUCGCUGGGCAAACUGUGGCAGUGCCAGUGAGGGUGGGCAGGCCCUGGCACAGAUUCCCAGAGCAGCUGGGGCUGCCCCUGGAUCCCUGGCAGUGCCCAAGGCCAGGCUGGACACUGGGAGGUGUCCCUGCCAUGGCAGGGCUGGAAUGGGGGGAGUUUUUAGCUCCAUUCCAACCCUACCCCCAAUUUUCAGUGUGUUACUGAACCAGUACAUUUCAACCUGCUGCUUUCACUCUUUCCCAGCCCCGCUGGAAGGUGAAGAGGCAGAUUUGGGGUGUCCCAGAGCAGCUCAGCUGUCCAAAGCAGGGCUGCAGGGGCUGCAGUGAGCGGGUCCCAGCUGCUCCUGAGCCACACUUCAGUGACAUCUCAGUGCUGCCUCCACACCAGGGUUGUGCUGAGAGCUGCUCCUGCCAUUCCCACGAGCGGAUUAAGGACAUCCAGUGUCAGUGGAACUCAAAUUCCUAAGGGAAGAGACAGCAUAAACUCCUUUUUUAAAUUAGGCAUCAAACCCUUUUUAAACCACCCAUACCAAUGAGUGUUUCUAUUUCCAUAGCCUGGCCUGUGAUGUCACAGAGAAAUGACAGAUUUCUUGUGAGUAGCACAUCUAAGUCAUCUUUUCUAACCAAGUGAUGGAUGUAAUAUUAAUAAAUGUCAUUGUUUUAUAAAGUAAAAACUAUGUGAAGUUGCCACCAGCCCCCUGCUCAAGUCUACAGCUUGCUUGCAAUUACCAGUACUGCUGUAUGUAUUUUUAAACAAGCUAUAAUACUGUGAUGAUGCUGUAAACUUACCUCUGUAGGAAAAAAAAUGUUCUAUUUCAAAAUGUCAGGAUGAAGGAUGUAAAUGUUCUGAAAGUGCUAUCAACAACAACAACGAAAAAAGAAUUUUCACAGAAUAUUCUAAAGGAUUCUGUUACGUGCUACAAAUUUAUUUUACAAGGGUAUUUAUGGAUCAUACAGCCUAGUCUGUGAAAGCAGUACUAUUUUAUUACAGAAUAAAUAAAUGAAUAAAUAAGCAGUGAAUAUCCAUGCCCAGAA